rnacentral:rRNA from 1 species
CAUAGCGACUAUCGUGGCAUAUCAAUAAGCGGAGGAAAAGAAACUAACAAGGAUUCCCCUAGUAACGGCGAGUGAAGCGGGAAGAGCUCAAAUUUGAAAUCUUCAAGGGUUUCCCUUGACGAAUUGUAGUUUAAAGAAGUGUUUUCUGUUAGAGGGGUGGUAAAAGUUCUUUGGAAUAGGACAUCAUAGAGGGUGAGAAUCCCGUAUUUAGUCAUUCUUUCUAGCUUUGUGAUACACUUUCAACGAGUCGGAUUGUUUGGGAAUGCAGUCCAAAAUGGGUGGUAAAUUUCAUCUAAAGCUAAAUAUUGGCGAGAGACCGAUAGCGAACAAGUACCGUGAGGGAAAGAUGAAAAGAACUUUGAAAAGAGAGUUAAACAGUACGUGAAAUUGUCAAAAGGGAAGCGUUUGACACCAGUGUUGUUUUUCCGAAAAUCAAUUAAAAAUUGAUUCAUGCCAGGUUGUAUUGACCUUAUCAGCUUGCAAUUUGGUUUUGGGUCUCUUUUUGAUGCACUUUUCGGUUAACAAGUCAACAUCAAUUUCCUUUGCUGUAAAAAGGUAAGAGGAAGGUGGCUUCACUUCGGUUGAAGUGUUUAUAGCCUUUUAUCCUCUGCAGUCGGAGAGAUUGAGGUCAGCAGCGUAGACUCUUCGGGGUUAGAUACAUUUAUGCUAAGCUAUAGCUUUUUAUAGACAACUUGUUGACUAUAUUUAGUCUUGUGGCUUACUCGCUUAUGCUAUUUUACCUACGCUUAGGAUGUUGAUAGUCACAGCGUGUAC